rnacentral:rRNA from 1 species
GACGAACGCUGGCGGCGUGCUUAACACAUGCAAGUCGAACGGAAAGGCCCUGCUUUUGUGGGGUGCUCGAGUGGCGAACGGGUGAGUAACACGUGAGUAACCUGCCCUUGACUUUGGGAUAACUUCAGGAAACUGGGGCUAAUACCGGAUAGGAGCUCCUGCUGCAUGGUGGGGGUUGGAAAGUUUCGGCGGUUGGGGAUGGACUCGCGGCUUAUCAGCUUGUUGGUGGGGUAGUGGCUUACCAAGGCUUUGACGGGUAGCCGGCCUGAGAGGGUGACCAGCCACAUUGGGACUGAGAUACGGCCCAGACUCCUACGGGAGGCAGCAGUGGAGAAUAUUGCACAAUGGGCGGAAGCCUGAUGCAGCAACGCCGCGUGCGGGAUGACGGCCUUCGGGUUGUAAACCGCUUUCGCCUGUGACGAAGCGUGAGUGACGGUAAUGGGUAAAGAAGCACCGGCUAACUACGUG